rnacentral:misc_RNA from 1 species
GGAAGUAAAAGUUGUAACAAGGUUUCCGUAGGUGAACCUGCGGAAGGAUCAUUAUUGGAUUUUGAAACUUCAGGCUGCUGCUGGCUCUCCUCGGAGGGCAUGUGCACGCUUGUUGUCCAUUAUUUCUCCCACUGUGCACAAAUUGUAGACCUUUCAGUAGGCCUAUGUUGUUUUUCACAAUCUCUGAAUGUAAUAGAAUGGUUUUGAAUCUUGGGAAAUACAAUACAACUUUCAGCAACGGAUCUCUUGGCUCUU